GACGAACGCUGGCGGCGUGCCUAAUACAUGCAAGUUGAGCGAUGAAGAUUGGUGCUUGCACCAAUUUGAAGAGCAGCGAACGGGUGAGUAACGCGUGGGGAAUCUGCCUUUGAGCGGGGGACAACAUUUGGAAACGAAUGCUAAUACCGCAUAACAACUUUAAACAUAAGUUUUAAGUUUGAAAGAUGCAAUUGCAUCACUCAAAGAUGAUCCCGCGUUGUAUUAGCUAGUUGGUGAGGUAAAGGCUCACCAAGGCGAUGAUACAUAGCCGACCUGAGAGGGUGAUCGGCCACAUUGGGACUGAGACACGGCCCAAACUCCUACGGGAGGCAACAGUAGGGAAUCUUCGGCAAUGGACGAAAGUCUGACCGAGCAACGCCGCGUGAGUGAAGAAGGUUUUCGGAUCGUAAAACUCUGUUGGUAGAGAAGAACGUUGGUGAGAGUGGAAAGCUCAUCAAGUGACGGUAACUACCCAGAAAGGGACGGCUAACUACGUG
rnacentral:rRNA from 1 species